GUGUUUACUUUGGCAGCACACAUACUAAAACUGGAAUGAUACAGUAAGACUCUUGUGCAAGAAUGACACGCAAAUCCAUGAAGUGUUCCAUAUUUCU
ensembl:snRNA U6 U6 spliceosomal RNA